rnacentral:rRNA from 1 species
ACAGCCCCGUACACAAAAAUGCACAUAUUGUGAGCUUGAUGAGUAGGGCGGGACACGUGGUAUCCUGUCUGAAUAUGGGGGGACCAUCCUCCAAGGCUAAAUACUCCUGACUGACCGAUAGUGAACCAGUACCGUGAGGGAAAGGCGAAAAGAACCCCGGCGAGGGGAGUGAAAAAGAACCUGAAACCGUGUACGUACAAGCAGUGGGAGCACGCUUAGGCGUGUGACUGCGUACCUUUUGUAUAAUGGGUCAGCGACUUAUAUUCUGUAGCAAGGUUAACCGAAUAGGGGAGCCGAAGGGAAACCGAGUCUUAACUGGGCGUUAAGUUGCAGGGUAUAGACCCGAAACCCGGUGAUCUAGCCAUGGGCAGGUUGAAGGUUGGGUAACACUAACUGGAGGACCGAACCGACUAAUGUUGAAAAAUUAGCGGAUGACUUGUGGCUGGGGGUGAAAGGCCAAUCAAACCGGGAGAUAGCUGGUUCUCCCCGAAAGCUAUUUAGGUAGCGCCUCGUGAAUUCAUCUCCGGGGGUAGAGCACUGUUUCGGCAAGGGGGUCAUCCCGACUUACCAACCCGAUGCAAACUGCGAAUACCGGAGAAUGUUAUCACGGG